rnacentral:rRNA from 1 species
GACGAACCGUGCGAACGUUGUUCGGAAUCACUGGGCUUAAGGGGCGCGUAGGCGGGCAUUCAAGUCAGGGGUGAAAUCCCUCAGCUUAACUGAGGAACUGCCUUUGAUACUGGGUGCCUCGAGUAAGGUAGGGGCAUGCGGAACUGAUGGUGGAGCGGUGAAAUGUGUUGAUAUCAUCAGGAACUCCGGUGGCGAAGGCGGCAUGCUGGACCUUCACUGACGCUGAGGCGCGAAAGCUAGGGGAGCAAACGGG